AUUGGCUAGCAACGAAUGCCACGACGAAUGUUUUAAAUGGCUGGCGUUAGGGUUAGUGUAUUUUAGGUUUGAGGCAGCUAAACUAUAGGGGAACCUCACCUUGAAACUAGAAAUCAUAGUAGAAUGAAAUAAGAUGGAAUAAGUUUGCAUGAGACUGAAAUGACACUAAAAGAACAUGGUCUUUUAUUUAAAGUUGUGGUUUUCAUCAAACUCUGAGAAGUUUUACUAGACUACACUUGUCUUGAAAAAACUAGAAGUUUUACUCGAGAAGACAAAGUUCUUGAAGCAAGAGAGAGAGAGAAAUUUUACUGGAGGCUACAUGAGAACUUUUAUCAGAGACUAGACCACAACCAUUUUAAAAAAAAACAAAACAUUUUUACUAGAGAUUGUUUAGUUCAUGAAGAAACCAGUGGUGUACUGAAUAUUUAAAUUCACAUUGAAAAAUAAUAAUUAGAAGAGCCAUUUAAGUAAUUUUGUUUUAUAAAAUAUUUUAAGAAAAAAUAUUAGUUUGGUUUUAGCUAGAGGUUUCAGAAAGGAUUUGCUUUGAAGAGUUUUUUUUCUUCUUCAACUAAUUCUUCCUCUUAAGUAAUUUAACAGAACUUUUGAUUAUACCAAAGUGUCUUUAAGGGUAUAUUUUUUCAACAAAUUAUUUUCAUCAGGUCAAAGAAUAUUUUCUAAGAGUUUGAAGCUUCAAAGUAAAUUAAAUUAAUAGUAGUAAAAGUUACUUAGCUUAUGAACUGCCUUUAGUGUCAUUGUGUUACAUAGUUUAUACUUUUAACUGAUAAAUAUAGUCAUGCUACCUGUGUGUAAAACACUAAAUCACACACUGAGGUUCUUUUUUUCUUUGGCAUGGGAGUCUCGGAUCCGUCUACCGGUGCUCCUGGCCAUUUGUUUUAUGGUAUUAGAUGUCCGUAUGCAAUUAGAGAUUAAUGUAAACAUAAUGCAGUAGUUGAAAAUGUGUACAUCAUGUGGAAGAAAGCAUUUUGAUACUAUUUUAUUACAACUAUUACUUAAAGUGAUGUUUUGACUGUUGAAAGUUUAAGACAAUCGGUGUUUAUAAUUUCAAUGCACAUUGACUUGGUGUGAAACAUUAACAUGAUAAUGUUACUUCUAUUUUUUAAAUCUUGUUUAUUUGAAGCAAAAACAAAGCAUAAACUGAUGUACAAAAUACUUCCUUGCCUUUCAUGAAAUGUAUGAAUAAACAAUUGGAUUGGACUUUACUGAGCUUUCAAUCCACAAAAACGAUGUAACGUUAUGGUUUUAAAGUGAUUGGAGCAGGUUAUAUACAAUUAAUUAUUUCUUGGGUGCAUGUGAAUGUUUUUAAAUUGAUAAUGUUGUCCCCCCCCCCCAUUUAUUUACUAACUGAAGAUUUAUGGAACAUAACAAAUACUUAAUUGAGCAGUACUUUUCUGAGUAAUCUGUUAAACUAAAGUCUUGGUCAUCAGGUGAGUUUUUUGCCCCCUUCCCUGCCACAUUAAAACUAAUUUUGUGUUUCAUAUGACCUGUUAAUAGGUUCUUAACAUAUUUAGAUGAGCAAUUUCCAUUGUGGUAAAAAAGGAAUCAAGUACAGAAUGUAAGAUAAAUUUGUUAUGAUAACGUUUUAAUUAGUAGUUCACCAUUUUAAUAUAAUUAUAUAUAGAAUGAUACAAAGUCAUGCACCACUAUGAUUUUCCCUAACACCUGUUUUAUAUGAGUAAAAUUGAUAUCACAACACACUGUUGCAAAAGUGCCACUUCCACUCAUUUUGGAAAUCGUAACAAUAUCCAAACCAGUUACUGUAAGAAAAGAAAAAGAAACUUAGAAAUAUUAUAUUUAGGAUGAGAAUUGAAAAUAUGAUUGUGGUAAUGAUGCAUGACUUUUACAUCGCCCUGUAUAAUGUAAAAAUGAAUUAAAAUAUUCAAAGAAUACAAAAAAUGUGAGUUUUAUGUGGCUACUAAUAUACUCUAAAUGAUGUUGUAAUAUGUAUAUGAGAUUUGACACUUUUAGUAAUUUGUACAAUUUUAUUACAUAGGAAAAACAUGAUAUAUGCUUAGCUUUAUCUGAUAGCAUAUCCAAAAUAUUACUUAGCUCUAUUCUACCUUCCAUUUGGCUCAUGAAAUCAUUUUAAUUCUUAGAAGGUAUGUGAAUGUGUUAGCCUUGACUGAGGGAAAUCUGACCUUAGAAAGUUAGUCUGUCAUGUAUAGCUUCUAUUUUAUUGGCCAAAUAAUUUCUUAGAAAAGUUGCAGAAUAUGUAGUCUUAGUUAAUUAAGGAAAUUAAAACUUAAGUAUAUAUAAGUAACAUCCAAAAUAAUUUCAUUAUUUAAAAUAAUUGAAAAAAAGAAACUUAUUAGGGGAAAAAUUAAACCUUGGAAAAUAUUUAUUAUUUGUGAGUUUGACUUCGCUUUGGUGGUAAGAUAACUUAGUAAUAAAAUUGUAAAAUCUUGCUGAUAAAUAAAAUUGCUCUACCACCA